CCUUGGGGAGUUAUAAAUGGCUGGAUGAUUGAUUGAUCAUCCAGAGCGCGUCCCGGCCCUGCUGCCGCCCUCUGGCAGCCACUAAUCCAGCCAGCCUUCCCUGGAGGGUCGAUGUUCCAGGCGUCGAAGUCGGGGCGCCAGAUGGCGCCCUGCAGUGGCCGCACUUCCAUGUGGAUGGGAACGUUUUCCCGACCUGGAACGGUGCCAAUUGUUUCAUCCAAUGCGGCAAUCAAGUUUGCGUUGUUCUGGACCAGCAUAACAUCAUGGAUUGGGCAAUUGGAGGCAUCGACAUGUCCAUGGGCAAGUACGCAGGCAUUGACUGCAUCCAGUAUGUGGACUUAACCUGGAGACGUGUGGAAACCUGCCUGAUCCUGAUCGCCUGCCUCUACUUGUUCCUCUGGAGCUUUCCGCAGUGCGCUCUGCCCUCAGGGCCGCCUUCCCUCCGAGACAGAGCCGGCCGCAGAUGGCUGCUGGCCCUCCUUUGCCUCUGCUGGGGCAUGGAGAUCGGGUUCAAGUGCGCCUCCAGAACCGGGAUCUACCUCCUGAACCCCUGCCACAUCACCACAGCCAUCCAGAUCUACCUGCUAAGCGCCCCGCCGAGCAAAACAGUCACGGCCCUCUUUCGCCUACACUUGAACUACCUGAACGGGCCUCUGCUCGCUUUGAUCUUUUACGAAACGGAGACCAGAGUGUUGCCACUAGAGGCCGCCGUCUACUGGCUGCAGCACGGGCUGAUGUUGAUCGUUCCCUCCUACUUGCUAAGGCUUGGAGGCGUCUACACAGUAGAGCCUGUAAAGACAAUCCAGUGGAACGUCCUGGCCUACAGCCUGCUUGUUGCUUAUCACUUCACUGUCCUACAGGGCGUUUCCCUACUGACCAAUGUCAACAUGAACCAUAUCAUGUGCCCUCUCGAGGCGGACCCUUUCAGAGGCCAACUAUUUCGAACAGCCGUCUUCUUCCACCAGGGCCUGCUCUGUCCUACUGUGUGCAAGGCCUAUGUGCUUUUGGCCAACUAUUUCCUGAUCAAGUUCAACUAAGUGGUUGGAUAAGGAGGAUUUGGCCCGACCAGGCCGCAGAACAACGAGCACACAUACAACAAUUAGAGAGCGAAUGAACGACUAAACAGAACAAAACGAAAAAAUCACAGCAAAUGACUAGACGACGAAGAAGGGCAAUAAAUCCGAGCACCAUCC
rnacentral:misc_RNA from 1 species